GGAGAGGUGUCCGAGUGGCCGAAGGAGACCGCCUCGAAAGCGGUUAGCCGAUUAAUUUUGGCUCGUGGGUUCAAAUCCCACCCUCUCCGCCA
rnacentral:tRNA from 1 species